UGCAGUCGAACGGGAUAGAACUUAGCAAUAGGUUCUUGAGAGUGGCGCACGGGUGCGUAACACGUAUGCAACCUGCCCUUAAUCGGGGGAUAGCCUCUCGAAAGAGAGAUUAAUACCCCAUAAUAUAUUUGUUAGGCAUCUAAUGGAUAUUAAAACUCCGGUGAUUAAGGAUGGGCAUGCGGCUGAUUAGGUAGUUGGUGGGGUAAUGGCUCACCAAGCCAACGAUCAGUAGGGGGCCUGAGAGGAUGUCCCCCCACACUGGUACUGAGACACGGACCAGACUCCUACGGGAGGCAGCAGUAGGGAAUAUUGGACAAUGGAGGCAACUCUGAUCCAGCCAUUCCGCGUGCAGGAAUAAGGUCCUAUGGGUCGUAAACUGCUUUUGUAUGGGAAAAAAUCACUUUACGUGUAAGGUGUUGAUGGUACCAUGAGAAUAAGGAUCGGCUAACUUCGUGCCAGCAGCCGCGGUAAUACGAAGGAUCCAAGCGUUGUCCGGAUUUACUGGGUUUAAAGGGUGCGUAGGCGGGAGAUUAAGUCAGUGGUGAAAGCUGGUAGCUCAACUAUCAAAUUGCCAUUGAAACUGAUUUUCUCGAGUACGGUUGAGGUAGCUGGAAUGUAACAUGUAGCGGUGAAAUGCUUAGAUAUGUUACAGAACACCAAUUGCGAAGGCAGGCUACUAAACCGUAACUGACGCUGAGGCACGAAAGCGUGGGGAUCAAACAGGAUUAGAUACCCUGGUAGUCCACGCUGUAAACGUUGCAUACUCGGUCUUAGCGAUAUACAGUUAGGACCUAAGCGAAAGCAUUAAGUAUGCCACCUGGGGAGUACGGUCGCAAGAUUGAAACUCAAAGGAAUUGACGGGGGCCCGCACAAGCGGAGGAGCAUGUGGUUUAAUUC
rnacentral:rRNA from 1 species